AAAUUGAAGAGUUUGAUCAUGGCUCAGAUUGAACGCUGGCGGCAGGCCUAACACAUGCAAGUCGAGCGGUAGCACAGAGAGCUUGCUCUCGGGUGACGAGCGGCGGACGGGUGAGUAAUGUCUGGGAAACUGCCUGAUGGAG
rnacentral:rRNA from 2 species